UCUUCUAUUUUAUCCUUUGCUGCUGCUCCCCCUAGACUUCUUCAGCCCUCCUAUCCCACUGCAAGAUCUCCACAUGACGAGCUGUUAGCCUCAAUAGUGUUAUUCCCACUUGUUCAGGUUGGUUACCUACUAGUAUCAUUCCUCAGCAGAAGCAUCUGGCUUUCUCUGUUUGCUGGGAAGUAAGACAAAUACUGUCUGGCAAAGCUGCUUUCACAUUAGCUUAGCAGGAAUGUAUGCAAAAGGGAAUUCCCAAAGUUGUUUGUUUGUUUUUUUCUCUUAGUGUUUUGGUUUUCAUCUAUCUCUUUCUUUCUCUCUCUGAAAGAACAAAAAAAUAAAAGGCACAUAUUCUGCUACAGGUCAUGGAGACAACAGACCUCCUUGGGUGUUUGCAGAGUUCUAGCUGGAAUAGUAGAAAGUUUCCAACUGCAAAACUUGACUAAGGAGCAGACUGACUUGCCUUACAGAGCUCUGUACUUCUCCAAGUAGGCUGCUGCUAAACCCUGAACCAGAUCUUCACAGUGUAGGCAGAGCAGCUGUGUUGGCUUACACAGAAUAAAUGGCUUCAGGCCAUACAGUGUCAAACUAAGUAUUCUCACUCCUCUUCAGUUUUAGACAAUGAAAUUAAGAAACAGCUUUCCUCAAAUACGGAUCAAAAUGCUAAAAUACCUUAAGCAAACCUGAAAAAGUGCUGGCUUGUCAACCUUGGCUUUAGGCACAGAACUCAUCACAGACUUUGCAACAUUUUCUUUAGUGACUAAGGUAUCUGACAUUGAGAUAUUUGACAAUGGCAUCUGGCUUUUAAAUCAGAAUCCUUUCCUUUUAAACAAGCCACACGGCUGCAGUGAGGUCCCAGGUUCAGUGCUGCUCUCUCUGCUUCCUUACAGUGCACAUCUUCACCCACAUGCUGUGAAUCAAAAGCCAGAGUCUGCAUUCAACACCAAUUAGCCAUUUCUGCAGAGCUUUGCUGCCAGGCAACAUGGCACAGUGGGGUGCCUGCAAUUAGAAGUGGCAAAGGGAAUUCUGCAGCAGACAAGAUGGCUGCUGUGCUAAUGGUGCAAGCACUGAGUUUCAAAAAGUACCAUCAGUCGAACUGACAAGAAUCUGGAGCUGACUAGAGUUAACAUUGGGAAUGCUGGAGCUGCAGCUUAGAAAUUAACUGUGUCUUUUGGCAAGGCCCACAGAAUAUGUAGGAGAUGGACCGCAGUACUGAAAGCAGAGAGCCUAAUUAUAACAUGAGCAAAAGAAAACAAAGUUACCUCAAGAGCUCCAAAAGAAAGCUGUUCCUCAACCAAUAAACUGCUGACAAGAUGCCAUAGAUCCAGCAAUGACAACAUGUGCUGCAAUCUUCAGGCAUUCUGAGUGGAAGGCACUCAGCACAGGAGUAUAACUCAAAGUAACUGUACACUUAUUUCUGAAAGUAUUUUGACAUUUGCAGCCAACUGCAGUCUAACAGACUGGGCUAACAGAAACAGAACUGUUCUUUUGCAUAUGGUAAGGACUCAUUGUUUAGAAGCAAUCUGGUGCCUGUAAUGCAGUUUUGUGACAGCUCCACACAGCGUUACCACCAGACAGUGUUUGGAUGGCAGGAGCAAGCUCUGU